rnacentral:rRNA from 1 species
AGCAGUCGCCGCGGUAAUACGCAGGUGGCAAGCGUUGUCCGGAAUUAUUGGGCGUAAAGGGCGCGUAGGCGGACUGAUAAGUCAGGGGUGAAAUCCCAGAGCUCAACUCUGGAACUGCCUUUGAUACUGGGUAUCUUGAGUAUGGAAGAGGUGAGUGGAAUUCCGAGCGUAGAGGUGAAAUUCGUAGAUAUUCGGAGGAACACCAGUGGCGAAGGCGGCUCACUGGUCCAUUACUGACGCUGAGGUGCGAGAGCGUGGGGAGCAAACAGGAUUAGAUACCCCAGUAGUCCCUGUCUCUUAUAC